rnacentral:rRNA from 1 species
UUCCGGUUGAUCCUGCCAGAGGUCACUGCUAUCGGGGUUCGAUUAAGCCAUGCGAGUCGAGAGGGUUCGGCCCUCGGCGUACUGCUCAGUAACACGUGGAUAACCUGCCCUAGGGGAGGGGAUAACCCCGGGAAACUGGGGAUAAUACCCUAUAGGUUACAGAUGCUGGAAUGCCCUGUAACCAAAAGCUCCGGCGCCCUAGGAUGGAUCUGCGGCCGAUUAGGUUGUUGUUGGGGUAACGGCCCAACAAGCCCGUAAUCGGUACGGGUUGUGGGAGCAAGAGCCCGGAGUUGGAUUCUGAGACACGAAUCCAGGCCCUACGGGGCGCAGCAGGCGCGAAACCUUUACAAUGCGGGCAACCGUGAUAAGGGAACCUCGAGUGCCUGUAAACGCAGGCUGUUCAGGUGUUUAAAACGCACCUGGAGAAAGGGCCGGGCAAGACCGGUGCCAGCCGCCGCGGUAAUACCGGCGGCUCGAGUGUUGGCCGCUUUUAUUGCGAUUAAAGCGUUCGUAGCUGGCCUGUUAAGUCUCUUGGGAAAUCUGGCGGCUUAACCGUUUCGCAUCUAAUGAAUACUGGAAAUCUUGCCACUCUCAGA